UACGUAGGGGGCAAGCGUUGUCCGGAUUUAUUGGGCGUAAAGCGCACGUAGGUGGUUCGCUAAGUCAGCUGUGAAAUCCCCGGGCUCAACCUGGGACUUGCAGUUGAAACUGGUGAGCUAGAGUAGGGUAGAGGGGUGUGGAAUUCCAGGUGUAGCGGUGAAAUGCGUAGAUAUUGGGAAGAACACCUGAGGCGAAGGCGGGUUGCUGGGCUGGCACUGACGCUGAGGCGCGAAAGCCAGGGGAGCGAACGGG
rnacentral:rRNA from 1 species